rnacentral:lncRNA from 1 species
AGAAAUAGCAGCUUUUAUUUGAGACUCCACCAGUGGAAUUCAGAAUCAGGCUGGGCCUGAAUUUAGGAUCCUCCUGCCUCAGCCUCCAGAGUGCUGAGAUUACAGGUGUGCACCAGAUCGCCCAGUAAGCAUCCCAGUCUUUAGAUCAGAGGGAAGUAUCUAGAUGGAUAUUCUCACACCAGGCAGGAGUGAGUUUCCACUGGAGGCUCUCCCUUGUUGGCAGCAGAGCACAACUCUGGCUGAUUGAAGCAGAAAAGGAAUUUGUUAAAGGGCCAUUGUGUAGUUCAUGGAUGGAGGCAUGUGGGGUGAGACCAGACUCACCGGCCACCUGGGCAGGAAGAAGACCAGGGCCAAGGGCUGUCAGGACUGGCCCAGAACAACUCCACACCCACGUGGCUGCACCUAUGCGCACGACAGGACCAUGCAUGCCUCCUGCCCCUGAGAUCCGCCCACUGCUGCUUCUGGAAGAGGUGUGGCAUGACGUACACAGGAAGGACAGAGCCACCAGCUUUCCCGGGGCCAGCAGGCUGCUUGGCUUGUGUUUGCUCGGUCGACUGUCUGGAGCUGGAUCUGGAUACUUCUCAAAGGGGAGGAAGGACUGCAGAUGCUGGGUGAGAAGAGCCAAAUGACAGAUGUCCAUCAGGGUAGGAGAAGCUGUGACAGGCUGAGGCCCAGGAGCCAGGAUGGACACAAGCAGAGUGGCCAGCGGCAGCUGUGUGUGUCUGCUGCAGGAAAGCUGAGAUGUUGAUCUACUCCUGAAAGGGCCCCCAGCAUUGGAUUGGGCUGCUUUCCUUACCUUUUCAGCCAGCACGCGGUUCUCCAGGCCGAAGAGCUCCCUUCUUGUCCUUCCUGCUGUCUGUUGUCUGGAGUGCUGUCAAAGCCAAAAGUGUGCUGAUCUGAAUAUGAUGUUCCUGACCCCUGCAGUCUGGUUGGGACCUGCUUUUCUAUAGAUUUUAGUUUGUUUUUCUUUUUUUUUUUUUUGGUACCAGGGAUCGAACUUGGGACCUUGUGCUUACGAGGCAGGCAGCGGAACCACUGAGCUAAAUCCGGGGCCCUCUAUAGAUCCUAGUACAAAGAGAUCUGCAGCAGGGUGCAUGUUGAGGGAGCAGCCAAACUUUCUGCACUGAUGCAGUGUGAUAACAAGUGGGACCAUGACCCAGGCCUGCUCAGGUGGGCAAAGCACAGGCUCCCCACCAGGAAAAGGGAGAGAUGUUAACGCUGGCUCUUAUCAUCACAUCUGGGAAAAGAGGUCCAGGAAAACAAGGCUUCAUCACAUGGACCUUUGAGCUUUACAGUCAGGCUUCCUGAAUGCUGCAGAUGCCCUGGGAAAAAUGGCAGACUUUCAGUUUGGGUCCUGGUGCAGAGGACACAUGUCCUUUACUAUUUUUCUAGGCAGAUAUGUCCUUUGAGGUUUCGGAUGGAGUGGGAGGUGCAAAUGCAGUGUGGCAUGUUGCUUAUGGUAAAGCUAAGUUGGGUUUCCUCCUGGACAGCCGUCCAGGACCCAAUCUGCCUCAUCCCUGGCAGAGCCCUCCUUGUGACGAUGCUGGACCUCCUCCCGAUUGUGGCUCCUGCUGGCAGAGUUGGAAAAGCAGAUGGGGCUCUGACUGCUCAGGAGGAGCCAUGGACGAGGGGUUCGGGCGGCUUACAGCCUGGCUCCACAGGGAGCACAUCCCGACGCUGCCUGCCACCUGGGUAGUGUGUGCCUGGUAAACAUUUGGCUGUCCCAGGAUGACAAUGAAGCAGAUGCUGACCCUCCACACUGUGUGACACAAGCCACUUCCCAUAGGUGGGUGCACAUGAGACUCGGUGGCCCUGGUGGCUUCCUUGCUGGCUCUCAAGAACCAGGUGUCUGGUUGACUUCUAAAAAGCAGGGGCUGGGUCAGAUGGUGGGGGGAAGACAGGGGACCCAGGAGCUGGCUGGGGACACAGGCCAGCAGAUGACUCCAUUUAUGCAAAAGUACACGAGCGCCACUCCCUUGAGACCAGAGCCAGGCAGUGUGUGAGGAAGACACUCUGGCAGCCAGCCUGCACCCUAACUGGAGCCACAGCUGCACGGUGACAACUAAGCCAAGGUAGCCUGGAAGUUGUGAGUCCUUGGCCCAAACCUGGCAUUCACAUGAGCUCUGGGCUCCUCAACCUUUUGUGACAUAGGUGGCACAGGAGCAGAUGUCACCCCAGAGGGCAUUUCCGAUCUUGGAAGGACCUGUGUCACUGGGGACUCCUCAGACAGCAGCAGAACCCUGUCCCACCAUCUACACUGUCCCGUCUACCCUGUUGUCCCUCUGCAUCGAAGAAGUGGUUCAGCGGGGAUCUGGACAGUCAGCCCUUUGGACAUCUUCCUUGUAGAAAUUCUGCAUCUCCACUACACAUACCACACACAUCUCUACCCUCCCUCCAUGUAUCAGUGUGUACAUGUAUUUAUACAAACAUGUAGGUGACCCCGGUCCCAAGCCCCACAACUGGAGUUGCCACCUGUAGCCGGCUUGACAAUGAUGAUGAUAACAGGGGACGGAUGGACACAUGGAACGGAUGUAGCUCUAGCAGACAGAGGAGCCCAGAACCUCCGGCUCACCUCGCUUUUAUUCACCCAAACAUGGGCACAAGUAAUCAAGCAGGUGGCAUUUUUGUUCAAUGAUUUUAUUCGUAGCUGCCUGCGCUCAUCAACUGUGACAUAUUAAUCAUGCAAAUUAGGAUAUUAUUAAUGAAGGAAAAAUUAAUCCUGCCACUGUGUCUGGUCUGUGGUGACAGCUUUGUUAAUACCCUCUCACUGCGUAAUACAGUCAGCAGCUUCUCCCGGCCACUGCAAGUGGGCACAUUAACAUCCAGGGAAAAGGUCAUGGAUCGAAGCUUAGGAGCAACAGGGCCAGUAUCACAAGCUCACACUCAUUGGCGCAUGUGUUUUCAGGACAGACUUGUGCAAUCCUGACCUCCUUCCCACUGAGUAAACUGUUGGUAGUGCAAGGGGACUGGCACCACUUCAAGACUUCUCCAGGGAAUCUCACUGAAUACAGUGCCAGCCCCCAGUUCCCAGCAGGGAGCAGCACGCCUGGGUCCCCUCACAACAUCCGUGUCCCAGCCGCUGGGUUCCCAAGUUUGCAGACAAUGUGAAGCAGCCUUCCUUGGCCAGUGCACCUUCUCCUCUGGCCUCUCUUCUGGGAUGGGAGCUGGCUGGCCUCAAGGUUUGUCUUUAUGGCUCUGGAGACAGGCGGGAACUAUAAUGUAGCCCACGCCCACUUCCCACGCUGUCCUCUCUGGAUGCUGGCUCUCCCUGCACCCUACCUGGAGCAGUGAUCAGCUUCCAGUCUGUGCCAAGACCCGAGACACGCUGCUUUGGGGCCUUAGGUGAAUCACCCUAUGUGGAGGGCAGGGCCCCCUGGAAAGAUUGCCAAGUCGCCCCACCUUGGCCACGGAACCUGGCUGGACCAAAAGGAGACGGCUGGAGGCACACGGGGGACCGACAGGACCUGUGGAGGACAGUGUUCGCCUCGGCCGCCGUGGACCUGAGUGGGAGGUCGGCGCCUGGGGCUCUCUGAGCCUGCUCGAGCCUUGCUCCUCUCCAUGCCUUGGGGCCACAGAAGGAGGGGAGUUUCUAAGUGACCUGCUGUCUGGAGACCUGGCCCUUCUUCCCAUCGCCGUCAUUACUGCCAUUGCUGUCCUCCUGUCCCCAAGAUGCCCCAGGCCUCGGUCCUUCUCCAUGACCUCGCACAGAUGGAGACUUUCGUGAUUCUUCUCUCCCGGGGUUGACCCCACCCGCCUCCCUUCCAAGCCCCUCCCCUGGGCUGCUCCCUUCUGAGCCCAGUGGCAGGUGGGGGUGAGACCUGCCCAAGCCUGAGAGGGAGGGGACAGUUGGGGAAGUAGAGAAGGGACUGCAAAAUGCCACGCCCCAGGCAGCUCAGAUGGCUCCUCCUGCUGCAGAAACCAUGUGGGUCUGGGCGCUCUGGUCACCUACACCCCAGAGCACUUCUGAUGGGUGAGGUGGGGACCAGAGUUGGGGAAUCUUGCAGCUGGCCUCUCACAGGAGGGUUUGGAGACACCCAAGAGAUUCUGACAGACUCCCGAGUUGCCGAUUGAUUAUUUUUUGGGGACAGGGCUUUGCUAUGUAACCCAGGUUGACCUUGAACUCUCAGCAAUCUUUCUGCCUCAGCCUCCUGAGUGCUGGGAUUACAGAUAAACCCCACCAUGCCCACUGCUGCUCUACUUAAAGAAGUCACAGCAUGGCAACUUUACCUGUUUGCACCUGGGGGAAACUUUGUACUAGUGAGGACUCUUCUUCAGCUGAGGCUCAGGGCCAAGACUUUCUGAGCUCCUGGUUGGAUUUGCUUGGGGCUGCUCCCAGGGGCCAUGGGCCCGCAUCUCCCUCUUAUAUGACACGGGGUGAUAUGGAGUCAUGGGUGCUCCUGACAGCUGGGCAGCCAUCAGGGACUGGACCUUCCCAGGCUCCUGCCUCUAUCCCCUGGUGGCCCUCGGUCCCCUCCACCUGGCUGCUGCAUGAGCCACACGAACACAGCUAGAAACCGGAGGGCUUGUGCUUCUACCCUGUUGUGGGUCAAUGUGAUCCUGACUUCCUGGCCAGAGGGGGCGAUCCACGGUGCUGUGUGGCACGGAAACUUGAUCCUCACGGGGAGGGCACCUGGCAGCCUCACUGGUCAGGGAGGGGAGAGUCCCGGGAGGGGACGCGUCGCUUUCCUUCUUGGGUUUCAGAGACGCAGGGCAGGCCAGGGGUGAGCCCUGAACCUCUGUCCUGGGUGGGGGUCUGUCUCAGCUCAGAACCCUCCUUUGGAAUAGCACGGGCAUUUUUUCAGUUUUCAUUGUUGCUAGUCCACGUUUGCAGUACAUGUCGGUCACAUUCCCAGGGCAGGUUGGUGCAUGGACCUAACACACCUCGGUUCUUUUUACUUCCCCUUCUCUGCCUCCACCCUUUCUCCAUUCCCAUUUGCAAAAGAUCUUUCUCCCUGUUUCCUGUUAUCUAUCUUUGAUUUUGCUCCUUGAUUUAUUUAUACUUCAGGUUUCUCUUAUAAGAAAAACCAUUCAGUAUUGAAGCUUGUGUGUCUGAUUAUUUCACUUAACCUAUGGUCUCAGGUGCAUCCAUUUUCCUACAAAUGACUCAAGCUUAUUCGUCUUUAUGGCAGAGUAGUCCUCUGUUGAGUAUAAAGACAUGGUCUUUACCCAUUCAUCUGUUGAUGGACGUACAGGCUAGCUAUUAUGAGCUGUGCUGCUAGAAACAUGAGUAUCCAUGUAUCACUGCAAUAUGAUGUCUUUAGCUCCUUUGAGACAACACCUAGAAUGGGAAUUGCUGAGUCACAUGGAAUUGCUAGUUUUACUUAGCAUAGUUUUUUAUUUGUUUGGUUAAUUAUUUUUGCCCUGGGGGGGUCCUUGACUUUUCCUCCCUGCUCAUAGGUGAAGUUCUGGGUAGAACUUGAAUCUGAUGGGCCUUGCAUCCAUGGCUGCCCCUGUUCUUUACAACCUCUCUCCAAGGCGUGACUCCAGAGCAAGGGGGUCAGUCUGGCUGCAGGGUCAGCUCGGAGGUGCAGGGUGAUGGGGAGAUUCUUGCUUCUCUCUCGCUUGCUCUGACUCUGCAGACACCAAGCAGGUUGCAGGACCAUGCUCCAGAGAAUGGAAGGGAAGUUGCUCAGGCCUUGGGGAGAGGGAGGCACGCACCCGAGUGCCUUUUCUGCCAGCUCUUUAGGAGCCCUCAACACCGGAACAUCUGCCCAGAAGGCCACAGGUCUGCUGUUUUCUGGCUAAACUCUUAAACCUCCACCGCAGGUGUCUGGGUCCCCAGUGCCUGUGGGGUGGGGUGGCCGCUCCAGCUUGGCAUGACUCCCCCGCCCUAUCUUCACUGCCUGCCACUCUGGCACACUUGACAUCCAGCCAGAUGCUAUGUGCUGUGGCCUCUCUUUUCAGGCUUCUGGUCACAUGUGUUGUCCUCCAUCUGCCCAGCGUGUCCUGUCCUCCUCCGCUUGUCACAAUGUACCUACAUUGCUUUGAAUGCUCCACCUGUG